GACGUAGGAGGCGAGCGUUGUCCGGAUUCAUUGGGCGUAAAGAGCGCGCAGGCGGCUUGGUAAGUCGGAUGUGAAAUCCCGAGGCUCAACCUCGGGUCUGCAUCCGAUACUGCCCGGCUAGAGGUAGGUAGGGGAGCGUGGAAUUCCUGGUGGAGCGGUGAAAUGCGCAGAUAUCAGGAGGAACACCCGUAGCGAAGGCGGCACUCUGGGCCGAUUCUGACACUGAGGAGCGAAAGCGUGGGGAGCGAACAGG
rnacentral:rRNA from 1 species